AUUGAACGCUGGCGGCAGGCCUAACACAUGCAAGUCGAGCGGAUGAGAAGAGCUUGCUCUUCGAUUCAGCGGCGGACGGGUGAGUAAUGCCUAGGAAUCUGCCUAGUAGUGGGGGACAACGUUUCGAAAGGAACGCUAAUACCGCAUACGUCCUACGGGAGAAAGUGGGGGAUCUUCGGACCUCACGCUAUUAGAUGAGCCUAGGUCGGAUUAGCUAGUUGGUAGGGUAAAGGCCUACCAAGGCGACGAUCCGUAACUGGGCUGAGAGGAUGAUCAGUCACACUGGAACUGAGACACGGUCCAGACUGCUACGGGAGGCAGCAGUGGGGAAUAUUGGACAAUGGGCGAAAGCCUGAUCCAGCCAUGCCGCGUGUGUGAAGAAGGCCUUCGGGUCGUAAAGCACUUUAAGUUGGGAGGAAGGGCUCAUAGCGAAUACCUGUGAGUUUUGACGUUACCAACAGAAUAAGCACCGGCUAACUUCGUGCCAGCCGCCGCCGUAA
rnacentral:rRNA from 1 species